CUCGUGAACCAAAUAUGGUCGGCUGGGUUGUCUUUGCGGAAACGCUUAGGCGACUUGUCUACGAAUUGUAAUCAUAAUAUGCGCGACGGUGAAUCCUUUGCAGACGACUUGAAUGGGAACGGGGUACUGUAAGUGGUAGAGUAGCCUUGUUGCUACGAUCCACUGAGGUUAAGCCCUUGUUCUAAAGAUUUGUU
rnacentral:rRNA from 1 species